rnacentral:rRNA from 1 species
CCUACGGGAGGCAGCAGUGGGGAAUAUUGGACAAUGGGGGGAACCCUGAUCCAGCGACGCCGCGUGAGUGAAGAAGUAUUUCGGUAUGUAAAGCUCUAUCAGCAGGGAAGAAAGAAAUGACGGUACCUGACUAAGAAGCCCCGGCUAACUACGUGCCAGCAGCCGCGGUAAUACGUAGGGGGCAAGCGUUAUCCGGAUUUAAUGGGUGUAAAGGGAGCGUAGACGGCGAUGCAAGUCUGAAGUGAAAGGCGGGGGCCCAACCCCCGGACUGCGUUGGAAACUGGAUGGCUGGAGUGCAGGGGAGGUAAGUGGAAUUCCUAGUGUAGCGGUGAAAUGCGUAGAUAUUAGGAGGAACACCAGUGGCGAAGGCGGCUUACUGGACUGUAACUGACGUUGAGGCUCGAAAGCGUGGGGAGCAAACAGGAUUAGAUACCCCAGUAGUC